AGGAAUAUUGGUCAAUGGACGCGAGUCUGAACCAGCCAAGUAGCGUGAAGGAUGACUGCCCUAUGGGUUGUAAACUUCUUUUAUAUGGGAAUAAAGUGGUCCACGUGUGGACUUUUGUAUGUACCAUAUGAAUAAGGAUCGGCUAACUCCGUGCCAGCAGCCGCGGUAAUACGGAGGAUCCGAGCGUUAUCCGGAUUUAUUGGGUUUAAAGGGAGCGUAGGCGGAUUGUUAAGUCAGUUGUGAAAGUUUGCGGCUCAACCGUAAAAUUGCAGUUGAUACUGGCAGUCUUGAGUGCAGUAGAGGUGGGCGGAAUUCGUGGUGUAGCGGUGAAAUGCUUAGAUAUCACGAAGAACUCCGAUUGCGAAGGCAGCUCACUGGAGUGUAACUGACGCUGAUGCUCGAAAGUGUGGGUAUCAAACAGGAUUAGAUACCCUGGUAGUCCACACAGUAAACGAUGAAUACUCGCUGUUUGCGAUAUACAGUAAGCGGCCAAGCGAAAGCAUUAAGUAUUCCACCUGGGGAGUACGCCGGCAACGGUGAAACUCAAAGGAAUUGACGGGGGCCCGCACAAGCGGAGGAACAUGUGGUUUAAUUCGAUGAUACGCGAGGAACCUUACCCGGGCUUAAAUUGCAAAUGAAUUAUGGGGAAACCCAUACGCCGCAAGGCAUUUGUGAAGGUGCUGCAUGGUUGUCGUCAGCUCGUGCCGUGAGGUGUCGGCUUAAGUGCCAUAACGAGCGCAACCCUUAUCUUCAGUUACUAACAGGUCAUGCUGAGGACUCUGGAGAGACUGCCGUCGUAAGAUGUGAGGAAGGUGGGGAUGACGUCAAAUCAGCACGGCCCUUACGUCCGGGGCUACACACGUGUUACAAUGGGGGGUACAGAGGGCCGCUACCACGCGAGUGGAUGCCAAUCCCCAAAACCUCUCUCAGUUCGGACUGGAGUCUGCAACCCGACUCCACGAAGCUGGAUUCGCUAGUAAUCGCGCAUCAGCCACGGCGCGGUGAAUACGUUCCCG
rnacentral:rRNA from 1 species